UUUUCUUUUUCUUUGUCUGUGUUCUUUUGCAUUUUCUUUUUAUUUGUUUAUUUUCUUUUCUGUUUUAUUUCAUUUAAAAGUAUUUAGGUAUUUUAUAACAAUGUGUUUUCUCCACCAUAAUUACCAGUGUAUUAUUUGGCACCCACCGAACAUUUUUGUUUGAAUUUUUGAAAACUUUUAUUUUCCACUUUAAAUUUAAUUGAAGUUUGAAUUAGGAGUUUGAAAAGAAAUGUGUUCCAAAUGUGAUCAAGCCCUGUUUAGAAACAUGAUUAGCUUAAUCACAGAGGGUUACUGUAGCAUGAUUCUCGGGGUGUUACAAAUCUCCUCCACUACAAGAAAUCUCGUCCCGAGAUUUAAGAGGGGAAGUAAGGGGGAAGGGGUUUGGUCGCGAAAUUCUAACGAGUCUUCUCGGUCUUGGUUGCUAUUCUCAAAGCGGUUGAUCCAUUACGUUGAUGUCUUCAUUUUCCUGCUUCAGGUCAUCAUGAUGAAGCUGGCAUCCUUCCUUCGGGAACUCCAUCGUACUUACGAAGGACAAGGGGUAACUUCGGAAUAACAGGCCUCUGAACGGUUGACUAUCUGGUUGAUAACAUCGGGAAAGGUGGCGGAAAGUAACUCUCGAAUGGAAAUUUAAGACAAUAUCGAGAGCAAAGUAAGGAGGUAUCGUGGGGAAGUUUCGAGCGGGUAGGCAAUCGUUUGAUGCCUGAAGGGUUUUGAGCAACGGGAAUAAGUAUUGUGUCUGAUACCAAAAUUGAUGAUCUCACGAAAGGUGGCACGUGAAUUACAUACGAAGCCAAGCGUGAGGAAUAACCUUGGGAACAAGGGGUGUACAAGAGAGUCAGGUUUCGAUCCUGUGGAACUGUGGGUUAUGGGCCCACCAUGUGGGUUAAAAAUAGGAGCGGUGACAUCUCGCACGGUCAUGAUAGCAAGGCAUGUCAGGGAACACCCUGUCAGUUAUGUCGGCAACACGUUGGUACCAAGGGCGAGGGACGAAGACAACCAUUUUCCUGCUCGUUCAAACGAGGCGGACCAUUAGGCAAAGUUCUCGUCCAUCAGUGGUUACCGAAAUGUCACCAACAAUAGUAACAGGGUCUUACUGACAGAGCUGUACACCGAGGUGUUUACAUGAGCAGGAGAAUAUUACUGCUUAGAUCAUAUAGAUCACCAGAAAGGUUAAACCAAACAAUGGAAAGGAAAAUAUGAUUAUUAGAUUAAAUAGAAGAAUGGAAAGGAAAAUGUGUUUAAACACAUAUUUCAAGGGUAUAUCCUUCCCAAGGACAAGCUGAGCAUGAUAUUCAUGACAGGAUAUAAUGUAGAAAACUCUUUAGGUAGGGGAGAGAAAUUUCAUGGCAUUACCCAUACAACGGUGUUUGGAUAAUUGAGCAGGAAACAUUUAGCAUUGGGCUUCAAAUGUUCCUGUUGAAAAUCGGAGUACCAUAGACAUGCUUCGAGAUAGCAUUGACAUGGUCAACAGGGGAAGAUCAGACUUUGGAAACAAAAAGGAUCCAUCAGGAACAACUUAUAGAAUAAGUCUUACAAUUUCCUCAUGGAAGAACAGCUAACCUGGCUAAAAGGAAAAACUUAUAACAAUAGGGCCUCCCGCCAGGUGUGCUGGGUAUCAUCACCUUACCGGGUCAUAAAUAGGCCAAUGUUAUAACUCUUGGAAAUAUGUUCCAACCAUCAUAUCUGACCGAGAUUCAGAUCUGAUUGGUGUCAGGAUAACUCAGACUUAGGAGGCCUGAGAAGAAAAGGUGCAACACAAAUUGUCGAAACGACAUCGAAGAUUCUCGGGAGAUGAACUAUGGAAGCGAGUUCCGAACAAGGAUUCAUAAUUAAAUCAAGGAGAGGUGAGGAGGUGACUGCUUGACUCAGCGACAAUCCAUUGAGAUUUCCAAAGGAUGGAUUUCCACCACUAUGUGAACAAGGAGAUAACAUUAGCUAGAUCGAAUGACUUAAUGAUGUAUGCUCGAGGAAAACAUACACAGUUAAACAUUGGUUGAAAUGUGCAACCGAAAUAUGGGCUAGGUAGCACAAUCAAUGUUCGAAUGAUGAUUCAUUAAACCAUAGACGUAGAAUGAAACUAUAGACCAAUGACUUCAAAGCAAUAGGGUUGCUAGAAGUUUAGAAUUUACACAUCACAGACCAUUUGUUGGUAUUCCUUUUAGAAACAACACGGGGACCAAGAAGAAUGGUGAUGGGGAGAAGUAUCACUGUACCAAGAUGUCAUGCGAGGUGGUGAAAUUCUUACGACAUACUUGACAUAAAAGAUGGUAAUACUCCAAGGUAAAGAAGAACAAUUGCUGGAUAGCAAGGAACUCAAGGUAUAACACCAAACACGAACAAGCUUGUGUUGGUGGGAAGGCAAUAAAGUGGUCGAUGAUAACACAGAUCAUCGAGGGCAAGGAUGGUAUUUCUCAUCAUGAACUCAAUCGAUAUCCUGGAAGAGCGCAUAAGGUUGAUGAUGAUCACGACACAUUUGUCGAGAGAUUUCAUGAAGAUGUAAAAUCAGCGACGACAUCAAGUCAAAGGAAUGAUGAAGCAGACGGUUAUUGGAACCAUGGGUAGGACACACGCUUGAAAUCAAGCUUGUUGUUCAAGGUGAAAUGGUAUGAGAGGAAGAUCAGCGUAAGCUUAGCCCAUCAUCGAAAGUUGUGCUCCGGGGUUAAGGACCAGGUAGCACAGUUAAAAUUUAGCACGCUAAUGAUAUAGCCGAUCAGGCUAGGAAUGACUUAAUGAUUAUUAAACUCGUAAGCAACGAAAAUUACCUAGAGUUAUUGAAUCGGAGUGCGGACUUGAUUCACUAAUCGGUGUUCUCGGUUGACAAACAACCCAAAGCCCAUGAAGUGACAAAGACAAGAUAAGGUAGUACUUCAUCAAAGUUUAUAAGAUGUAGUGCAAUGGUAAGAUAUCCCCGAGAUACCAGGGGUAAUACUCAAAGGUAGAUCAUAAUAGAGGUUGGGAAGGCGUAUUGACCUGCAGAAGACAAGUGAUUUAACUUGUCCAAGAAAUGGUAUUUAAAGGAGAACAUGGUCGGAACUACGAUUGCAAAAGGCCAGAUCCCAGAUAUAAGAUGAACUUAUACCAAGGGAAUAAUUAAUUUAAGAGAAGCUUUUAAUGAUAAGAUCUACAUCGUGUCCAUGGGCAUGAACACAAAGUUCAAGGUCGACUCCCACUUCUCCAAUGCAUAUCCUUUCAUUUACUUCUCGCGUUCGAUGAAGUUGUAGUGUUGAAAUUUUAUAUUGCAAAAUACCAGGAGAGUAUGACUCGUGAAAACUUUCGAGUUCACACAUAUUAAGGAAGGCAUAGGUUCAACCCAUCAGGGCUUCUUAGAACAUAUACCACAAACUUCGGAGUAAAUAAUACAAGCUCGAAAGUAGAGUAUGGUUCACAAGGCAGAGGAUACAAUUUACCAAAGGCGUCAUGUAUCCGAGGAAAAGCUCACCAGCUUAUUUAAUAUGGAGGACAUUGUCAGAUAAAAUCCGACAAAAGGGUCUGGUGGUCCCCAAGGGAUCUGAUGGGAGCAUCAGUACUCAACCAGAGGAAGAAAGAAUGCCAGGAGAUCAGACUAUAGAAACAACUGACUAACUCAAAAGCUCAAAUGCAAAGGAAUUAUGAAUUCCAAGACAAGGGAUCAGAAGCAAUGCUCUGAUUAGGGAUGGAUAAGUUGAAUAGCCUUAGGGGUACAAUCGAUGACGAUUUGAUUGGUCAAGAUCCAGCUCAUGUUAAAGAUGUCUGAGCCAGAAGGAUGAAUUCUAGGAUCUGAUUGAGGAUUGCGAGCAUUCGCAACAUAUUGAAUCAAUGGACUCAAAAAGAUAAAGACAAAGGGUGCCAAUAAGAUUUCGAGGUUUAUGGGAUUAAUCAUAAUGCUAGUAAGCAAGAAUUUCAAGAGCAACAGGCUCCUGAGGAUUUUUGGAAGAUCGAAUAGUAUUUUGAAGACUAUUGUGGAAUACUUGAAACAACUGGGGAUGAGCGGAUACUCGGUAAGUGCGAGAAUUAUCCGUAGGGGUAUUCAGGUGACAAGGAACAGCGAGGCAGUAAGCUCAAAGGAUUCUUGGAACAACAGAGAGAAUUUCGGGGUAUCUUGUAAUAACAAGAUCAACUGGGAAACAUUGUAUGAAUGGCGAGUAUACGUGGUUAUCCAUAGGAGUUUAUCGAUGAAAGGGAAUUGCAAAAGCGAUGAACACAAGUUCUCGGGUUAUCAGCGGAGAGUAUCUUCAGGGUCUUCACGUGCAGCAGACGAUCAUCAGUAAUAAGGGGCUCUCCGGCUGAAAGUGACAACGAGAUCCUAAUGUCAGAUUUAGCAAAAUUCAAUUAACCCGAAUAGAAGAGAGAUCAGAGUCCCAGAGUAUAGACAAGGAGUAAAAGAUCCUAAUACCACCCAAUGGUGACGUGGGCCUGUAAGCCACACAGCCAUGUUAGUAAAAGUUUUUCAAUGACUAGACUCGACUUCGGCCAAGGAGUGUGGAAAGGGGGAUUCCUACAGGCAGUCGGCUCUGAUACCAACUUGUGACACCCCCGAUUUGACCGUACACUAAUCAUGCACGCAAAUGUGUACGACCAAGAUCAGGGACUCACGGGAAGAUAUCACAACACAACUCUAAAACAUAAAUAAGUCAUACAAGCAUCAUAAUACAAGCCAGGGGCCUCGAGGGCUCGAAUACAAGUGCUCGAUCACAGACGAGUCAGCGGAAGCAACAAUAUCUGAGUACAGACAUAAGUUAAACAAGUUUGCCUUAAGAAGGCUAGCACAAACUGGGAUACAGAUCGAACGAGGCGCAGGCCUCCUGCCUGGGAUCCUCCUAACUACUCCUGGUCGUCGACAGCGGGCUGCACGUAGUAGUAGGCACCUCCAGUGUCGUAGGUGUCGUCGUCGACGGUGGCGUCUGGCUCCUGGACUCCAGCAUCUGGUUGUGACAACCAGAUGGAAAAUAAAAGGGGGGAAAGAGGGAGAGAAGCAACCGUGAGUACUCAUCCAAAGUACUCGCAAGCAAGGAGCUACACUACAUAUGCAUGGGUAUAUGUGUAAAGGGGCAUAUCAGUGGACUGAACUGCAGAAUGCCAGAAUAAAAGGGGGAUAGCUAGUCCUGUCGAAGACUACGCUUCUAGCCAUCUCCAUCUUGCAGCAUGUAGAAGAGAGUAGAUUGAAGUCCUCCAAGUAGUAUCGCAUAGCAUAAUCCUACCCGGCGUUCCCCUCCUCGUCGCCCUGUUAGAGAGCGAUCACCGGGUUGUAUCUGGCACUUGGAAGGGUGUAUUUUAUUCAGUAUCCAGUUCUAGUUGUCAUAAGGUCAAGGUACAACUCCGGGUCAUCCUUUUACCGAGGGACACGGCUAUUCGAAUAGAUAAACUUCCCUGCAGGGGUGCACCACAUAACCCAACACGCUCGAUCCCAUUUGGCCGGACACACUUUUUCGGGUCAUGCCCGGCCUCGUAAGAUCAACGCGUCGCAGCCCCACCUAAGCACAACAGAGAGGUCAGCACGCCGGUCUAACCCUAUGCGCGCAGGGGUCUGGGCCCAUCGCCCUAUGCACACCUGCACGUUGCGUACGCGGCCGGAAGCAGACCUAGCCUAGUGGCGUUCCAGUCCAAUCCGGCGCGCGCCACUCAGUCGCUGACGUCAAGAAGGCUUCGGCUGAUACCACGACGCCGGGAUACCCAUAACUACUCCCGCGUAGAUGGCUAGUGCGUAUAGACCAAAUGGCCAGACUCAGAUCAAAUACCAAGAUCUCGUUAAGCAUGUUAAGUAACCGCGAACGCCGACCAGGGCCAGGCCCACCUCUCACCUGGGUGGUCUCAACCUGCCCUGUCGCUCCGCCACAAAGAUCCACUUGCGGGUACUCCUACGAGCCGACCCGACUUUAGUCAUCACAUGUGUCAUGUAUGUAGUAUAUAAGUAUAUACCCGCGAUCACCGCCCAGGUGCACGGCCCGAUAGUAUAGCACAGCAGACAAACAAGAAUGUAGGGCCACUGAUGGAAAUCUAGCAUCCUAUACUAAGCAUGUAGGAUUGCAGGUAAAGGUAUCAACAGUAGUAGCAAGGAUAGGCUAUGCAUCAGGAUAGGAUAUCGAAAAGCAGUAACAUGCUACACUACUCUAAUGCAAGCAGUAUAGAGAAGAAUAGGCGAUAUCUGGUGAUCAAGGGGGGGCUUGCCUGGUUGCUCUGGCAAGUAGGAGGGGUCGUCAACUCCGUAGUCGAACUGGGCAGCAGCAGUGUCGGUCUCGUAGUCUACCGGAGAGAAGAGGGGGGAAGAAACAGUAAAUACAAUGCAAACAUAAGCAUGACGAUGCGCGACAUGACAAUGAGCGGUGCUAGGUGUGUCCUAACGCGACAGUAGGUGGUACCGGCGAAGGGGGGGAACAUCCGGGAAGUAUUCCCGAUGUUUCGUGUUUUCGGACAGACGGACCGGAGGGGGAAAGUUGCUAGUUCGAUAGGUUAGGGAGGUGUGGUGGACGAACGGACUGCGUAUUCGGAUUCGUCUCGUCGUUCUGAGCGACUUUCAUAUAGAAAGCAUUUUCAUCCGAGUUACGGUUUAAAAGAUAUGAAUUUUCAAUGUUUAUUUGAAUUUCUGGAAUUAUUUGAAUUAAGCAAAAAUGAAUUAUGACGUCAGCAGGUCAACAGUGCGACUGACCAGGUCAAACUGACCAGUGGGCCCCAUCUGUCAUAGACAGUGGGCUAACAGAAGAUUAAACUAAUUAAUUUUUAGUUAAUUAACUACUGGGCCCACCUGUCAGUGAGUGAUUAGAUUAAUUAAUUAGUUUUAAUUAUAAAAACAUUUUUCUUUUCUUUUUUUUUAAUUUUGCGGCGGGGCCCGCAUGUCAGUGACUGGGCCUGCCCAGUCAGCAGUUGACUGGGUCAACCCAGUCAACUGGGACCCACGGGGCCCACUGGCAGUGGCCCUGGGGUGGCCCCAGGCCAGCCACGUCGGCGGCCGGCGCCGGAGCAACUCCGGCGACCAAAACAGCGGCGGUCCCUUGCCGGAGUUGGCCGGAAACGCGCGACGGGGCUCGGGGAGGAGCGGGGCUAGGCCCAUUCGAAGGAGCUCGCAGCGCCGCAUCCAGUGGUGGCCGGGGCUUCGCCGGACUUGGCCGGAAUCGGCGCCGGCGAGCGGCGGAGGCGGCGGCGCGCACGGGUGCCCGACGGAAACGAGGCUACGGCGGGCUAUCGAGCAAGCGGAGGGGUUGGGGGGCUUCUACGCGAGGUGGGGAGUGCAACGGGCUUGAGCCCGUGACCAAAAGGUCACCGGAGCCUUGCCGGCGGCGAGCUCCGCGGCGCGGCGUUCGGGCGCGCGUGGGGAAGCAGCUAGGGGGCGCACGAGAGAGAAAGGACAGGGGAGGAGGGGGAGAGGCUCACCGCGAGGCUGUAGGGGGACGGCAGCGUGCUCGGGGAGGCUUGUCGGAGGCGAAACGGGGCGGCGAUCGACGGCGGCCGUGCGGGGAAGAAGAGCUCGGGGAGGUCGUUGCAGUGGCUCCGAGCUUCAACGGAGAGGCGGAGGUGGUGUAGUCGAGGGCGGCGACGGCGCACGACACGGCGAAGUGGCGAUUGGGGCACGGUGGCCGCGGGAACGACGGUGAACGGCGGCGACCGUGUCGGGCGUGGGGAAGGAAGGAGCGGCGCGGAUCUGGGGGGGAGAAGAGAGAGGCNNNNNNNNNNNNNNNNNNNNNNNNNCGAGAGGAGAGCGGGGGCGAGUGGGAGAGAGGCCCGAGGAGGCGGGGGGUGCUGGCGCCCUUAUCCUCCCCGUCGCCGGCGAGGUGGUGCGGCGGGGACUGCCCCUGUUCCGACCCCGGUCGGGGGAACAGGGCAGGGGGGCGAGUGGGAGAGGUGGGCUGGGCCGGGGGUCAGCCCAGUUGGGCCAGGGGUGCUGUGGGGGGGGCCUUCUCCUUUUUCUUUUUCUUUGUCUGUGUUCUUUUGCAUUUUUUUUAUUUGUUUAUUUUCUUUUCUGUUUUAUUUCAUUUAAAAGUAUUUAGGUAUUUUAUAACAAUGUGUUUUCUCCACCAUAAUUACCAGUGUAUUAUUUGGCACCCACCGAACAUUUUUGUUUGAAUUUUUGAAAACUUUUAUUUUCCACUUUAAAUUUAAUUGAAGUUUGAAUUAGGAGUUUGAAAAGAAAUGUGUUCCAAAUGUGAUCAAGCCCUGUUUAGCAACAUGAUUAGCUUAAUCACAGAGGGUUACUGUAGCAUGAUUCUCGGGGUGUUACA
rnacentral:lncRNA from 1 species